AAUGCCAACACUGGCUGUGUCGAACGCUCCACAGGCGCUUUGAGGGGAACCGUGCUCCGAUUGCAGCUGGCCGUCCCUGCACCUGAAGGGCUGGCCUCAGCCGGGGUUGUUCAGACAGCACUGGGCUGUUUGACAUCGCAAGCCUCAGUGAACUCAGGUUACCCCGUAACCACUUCCAGCCUAGGCCAGAGGGGGAGUGCUUCCUCUGUUGACCUGGGAAAGACUGCUGUGACGCUGGCUAAAGGGACGAUGCUCUGAUUGGUGCAAACACAAACCCUCAUAUGCAUGUGGUUUGCUGUGAUUGGCGCAAACUCCCCUCCUCUAGUUAUAGAAGCAGGCAAUUUAGUAAGCUGCCUAGAAGACACAGCUCCUUGUACUGCCUUCUGGUGUUGCAACGUUAGGUCCAAUAAAAGCCUUCUCUUGAUUUUUUUUUUUUUUUUUGCCUUUUUAAUAGUGUGGGAUGAGCUGAUAACAUGAAGAAAGAAGCAAGAGAGACAGUGAAGCACCAGCAAUGAUAAAUGACUGACAGGGGCAAGCUGCCAAAGCAGUAAGGAUACCUCACUCAGGAUGAUCUUUAUCUAGUUCCCACCAUUUGCCUGCAAAUUUCAUGAUUUCCUUGUUUUUAAUUGCUGAGUAAUAUUCCAUUGUAUAAACAUAUCACAAUUUCUAUAUCCAUUCCUCAACUGAGGGACAUCUGGGUUGUUUCCAGCUUCUGACUAUUCCAAAUAAAGCUGCUAUGAACAUUGGUUGAGCAAA